CCUACGGGUGGCAGCAGUGGGGAAUAUUGGACAAUGGGGGAAACCCUGAUCCAGCGACGCCGCGUGAGUGAAGAAGGAUUUCGGUACGUAAAGCUCUAUCAGCAGGGAAGAAAAUUACGGUACCUGUCUAAGAAGCCCCGGCUAACAACGGGCCAGCAGCCGCGGUAAUACGCAGGGGGCAAGCGUGAUCCGGAUUUACUGGGUGUAAAGGGAGCGUAGACGGCAGCGCAAGUAUGGAGUGAAAGGCAGGGGCCCAACCCCGGAACUGCGCUGGAAACUGUGAAGCUGGAGUGCAGGAGAGGUAGGCGGAAUUCGUGGUGUAGCGGUGAAAUGCGUAGAUAUGAGGAGGAAGACCGGAGGCGAAGGCGGCCUACUGGACUGUAACUGACGUUGAGGCUCGAAGGCGUGGGGAGCAAACAGGAUUAGAUACCCCGGUAGUC
rnacentral:rRNA from 1 species